rnacentral:rRNA from 1 species
AGUGAACGCUGGCGGUAGGCCUAACACAUGCAAGUCGAACGGCAGCACAGUAAGAGCUUGCUCUUACGGGUGGCGAGUGGCGGACGGGUGAGGAAUACAUCGGAAUCUACUUUUUCGUGGGGGAUAACGUAGGGAAACUUACGCUAAUACCGCAUACGACCUACGGGUGAAAGCAGGGGAUCUUCGGACCUUGCGCGAUUGAAUGAGCCGAUGUCGGAUUAGCUAGUUGGCGGGGUAAAGGCCCACCAAGGCGACGAUCCGUAGCUGGUCUGAGAGGAUGAUCAGACACACUGGAACUGAGACACGGUCCAGACUCCUACGGGAGGCAGCAGUGGGGAAUAUUGGACGAUGGGCGCAAGCCUGAUCCAGCCAUACCGCGUGGGUGAAGAAGGACUUCGGGUGGUAAAGCCCUUUUGUUGGGAAAGAAAAACAGCAGGUUAAUACCCCGCUGUUCUGACGGUACCCAAAGAAUAAGCACCGGCUAACUUCGUG